GACGAACGCUGGCGGCGUGCUUAACACAUGCAAGUCGAACGGAAAGGCCCUGCUUUUGUGGGGUUCUCGAGUGGCGAACGGGUGAGUAACACGUGAGUAACCUGCCCUUGUCUUUGGGAUAACUUCAGGAAACUGGGGCUAAUAUCGGAUAGGAUCUCCUGCUGCAUGGGGGGCGUUGGAAAGUUUCGGCGGUUGGGGAUGGACUCGCGGCUUAUCAGCUUGUUGGUGGGGUAGUGGCUUACCAAGGCUUUGACGGGUAGCCGGCCUGAGAGGGUAGCCGGCCACAUUGGGACUGAGAUACGGCGCAGACUGCUACGGGAGGCAGCAGUGGGGAAUAUUGCACAAUGGGCGGAAGCCUGAUGCAGCAACGCCGCGUGCGGGAUGACGGCCUUCGGGUUGUAAACCGCUUUCGCCUGUGACGAAGCGUGAGUGACGGUAAUGGGUAAAGAAGCACCGGCUAACUACGUG
rnacentral:rRNA from 1 species